rnacentral:rRNA from 1 species
GACGAACGCUGGCGGCGUGCUUAACACAUGCAAGUCGAACGGAAAGGCCCUGCUUUUGUGGGGUGCUCGAGUGGCGAACGGGUGAGUAACACGUGAGUAACCUGCCCUUGACUUUGGGAUAACUUCAGGAAACUGGGGCUAAUACCGGAUAGGAGCUCCUGCUGCAUGGUGGGGGUUGGAAAGUUUCGGCGGUUGGGGAUGGACUCGCGGCUUAUCAGCUUGUUGGUGGGGUAGUGGCUUACCAAGGCUUUGACGGGUAGCCGGCCUGAGAGGGUGAACGGCCACAUUGGGACUGAGAGACGGCCCAGACUCCUACGGGAGGCAGCAGGGGGGAAUAUUGCACAAUGGGCGGAAGCCUGAUGCAGUAACGCCGCGUGCGGGAUGAAGGCCUUCGGGUUGUAAACCGCUUUCGCCUGUGACGAAGCGUGAGUGACGGUAAUGGGUAAAGAAGCACCGGCUAACUACGUG